CCUACGGGUGGCUGCAGUGGGGAAUAUUGGACAAUGGGGGGAACCCUGAUCCAGCCAUGCCGCGUGUGUGAAGAAGGCCCUCGGGUUGUAAAGCACUUUCAGUGAGGAAGAACGCCUGGUGGUUAAUACCCAUCAGGAAAGACAUCACUCACAGAAGAAGCACCGGCUAACUCCGUGCCAGCAGCCGCGGUAAUACGGAGGGUGCGAGCGUUAAUCGGAAUUACUGGGCGUAAAGCGCGCGUAGGUGGCUUGAUAAGCCGGUUGUGAAAGCCCCGGGCUCAACCUGGGAACGGCAUCCGGAACUGUCAAGCUAGAGUGCAGGAGAGGAAGGUAGAAUUCCCGGUGGAGCGGUGAAAUGCGUAGAGAUCGGGAGGAAUACCAGUGGCGAAGGCGGCCUUCUGGACUGACACUGACACUGAGGUGUGAAAGCGUGGGUAGCAAACAGGAUUAGAUACCCGAGUAGUC
rnacentral:rRNA from 1 species